GAUAAAAGCCCCCUCAGGUGCCCAUGAGGCCGAUUUUUGUGAAUAGGAAAUCCUUUCACAGCAUUAAUGUUCAGAUGGUCUGCAAUGCUGACUGUGUGAUCAGCAAUGUUGUGGCAAAAUGGCCUGGCUCAGUCCAUGACUCCAGAAUCUUUCGGGCCUCUGAAAUCUAUCAGUGCCUAUCACAAGGUGAAUUCUCUGGUGUGUUGCUGGGAGACAGGGGGUAUGGCUGCCAGCCUUUUCUCCUGACACCUUUCACAGACCCCAGGAAGCACAGCAGGCCUACAACCAUGCCCAUGCCAGGACCAGGGCCAGAGUUGAAAUGACCUUUGGCCUCCUGAAGGCACGCUUUCACUGCCUUCACAAAUUAAGGGUCAGCCCUGUUAGGGCAUGUGAUAUUACUGUGGCUUGUGCUGUCCUCCACAAUGUGGCCUGCCUGAGGAAGGAGAGGGCCCCCAGAGUGCCACCAGCCAUGGACUGGGACAAUCGGCAAUCUUCCCUGAUGACGACGGUAAUCGGCUGCUGAGGGGACCAAUAUGUGUUGAAUUAUUUUAGUUAGUAUGUGUGCUUUCAAUUUUGGUUAAAUAUGUCCUGCGGUGGCAGAGGAAUUUG